CCCCUGCGGCCCCAGCCGCGACGGUGGAGGAACCCGAUUCCCUUCCCCGAGACGUUCGACGGCGACACCGACCGGCUCCCGGAGUUUAUCGUGCAGACGGGCGCCUACAUGCUAGUGGACGAGACCCUGUUCUCCAGCGAUGCCCUGAAGGUGACGUUCCUCAUCACCCGCCUCACGGGGCCGGCCCUGCAGUGGGUGAUCCCCUACAUCAGGAAGAAGAGCCCCCUCCUCAAUGAUUACCGGGGCUUCCUGGCCGAGAUGAAGCGGGUCUUUGGAUGGGUGGAGGACGAGGACUUCUAGGCCAGGAGACCCUCGGCCUGGGGGCGGGUGCUCGGGGAGGGUCCGCUGCGCCAGUGGCCGCCGCCCAGAUCGCGACAGGCGUCCUCCCGCCACGCCUCCCCCUCCCUUACCUUCGAGUCGCCGCGAUCUCCCCCGCGCUCCUGUCCCCUCCCGCGUAGUGCUUGCCUUUGUUCCAGGAAUAGCGCUCCAGGUUCCCGCUGCUGCCGCUGGGCCUCGCUCUGGAGCGCCCCGCCGCCGCCCCCUCUGGCCUGCCCGGCCCCUCCCGUGCACACUUGGCUCUGCCUGUGCUCCAGCUGCAAGCUGGGCUCCGGUUACCCUCUGGACAGACCACUCACAGCCCGCCCCCUUGCCGGACUCCCGGGCCUGCAUCGAUGUGCCCAGAGACCUGCGCUGCCGCCGCCAUCACCAUCCACCGCAUCCCACCGACAGACUGCAGCCUCCAGCGAUCUGGACUCACCCGGGAGGUGUCUGAGCAGGCCACGGCCCCUGGACCACGAUUCAGACAGCCCACUGCCCCCCCUGUGAAGGGGCCGCCAGCCUUUCACCGUCAGCGGGACCCAUUUCCUCCCUACUCCCAGAGACAACUUCUGCUCCUGCCAGAUGGCCGCCAGCCUUUCACCGUCAGCGGGACCCAUUUCCUCCCUACUCCCAGAGACAACUUCUGCUCCUGCCAGAUGGCCGCCAGGUCCCAGGAGUGCCUGGCAGCUAAAUCGAGCCACUUGUUUUCUCCUGUGGACCUGUUAGUUUUGCCCAGAAUCCAGUUCUCUCCUGAAUUUGCAGCUGUCUCUCUGAUGUGUGCCUUUUGUUCAACACAGUCACCCCUGCACUCUGCCCGGCUCUUCUACACUACCUGGACAAAAGUCUUUUCCUUAUUUUCAAUAAAUGUCAGACGCUAUUAA
rnacentral:lncRNA from 1 species